AUUUAAAUAGUUUAAUAAAAAUAUUGAUUUGUGGAGUCAAAGAUAUAGAUGUUAUUUAUUUUAGAUA
rnacentral:tRNA from 1 species